rnacentral:rRNA from 1 species
AGGGUGACAGGUGGUGCAUGGUUGUCGUCAGCUCGUGUCGUGAGAUGUUGGGUUAAGUCCCGCAACGAGCGCAACCCUCGACCUUAGUUGCCAGCAUUCAGUUGGGCACCCUAAAGAGACUGCCGGUGUCAAACCGGAGGAAGGUGGGGAUGACGUCAAGUCCUCAUGGCCUUUAUGACCAGGGCUACACACGUACUACAAUGGCCGGUACAAAGGGCAGCCACUUAGCGAUAAGGAGCCAAUCCCGUAAAGCCGGUCUCAGUCCGGAUUGGAGUCUGCAACUCGACUCCAUGAAGUUGGAAUCGCUAGUAAUCGCAGAUCAGCACGCUGCGGUGAAUACGUUCCCGGGCCUU